GUAGGCGGUGUGGCAAGUCGGGAGUGAAAUCUAUGGGCUCAACCCAUAGGCUGCUUCCGAAACUGCCAUGCUUGAGUGUGGGAGAGGCGAGUGGAAUUGCAGGUGUAGCGGUGAAAUGCGUAGAUAUCUGCAGGAACACCCGUGGCGAAAGCGGCUCGCUGGACCACAACUGACGCUGAAUGACGAAAGCUAGGGGAGCAAACAGGAUUAGAUACCCUGGUAGUCCUAGCCCUAAACGAUCAGGACUUGGGGUGACGCACGUUCGUGCGUCCUCCCGGAGCUAACACGUUAAGUCCUGCCCCUGGGGAGUACAGUCGCAAGACUGAAACUCACAGGAAUUGACAGGGGCCCGCACAACCGGUGGAACAUGUGGGUCAUAUUCUACGCUACGCGAGGAAACUUACCUGUGCUCGAAAUGCGUAAGACCAGCUGUAGAAAUACUGCCUUCCCGCAAGGGACCUGAGUAUAGGCGCUGCAUGGCUGUCGUCAGCUCGUGCCGUGAAGUGUUGGGUUAAGUCCCGCAACGAGCGCAACCCCUGCACGUAGUU
rnacentral:rRNA from 1 species